rnacentral:lncRNA from 1 species
AUGGUGUCAAUCUCCUCCCCAUCACGCGCUCGCUCCUCUCUUGAAUCGAUCUCCUCCCCACGCCCACUCCUCCUCCUCCCACGCCGCGUCCUUCGCCCUCCUCCUUGGGCGACGCUCGCCCCGCCGUCGCAUCGCCUCCUCGCCAGCCACGCCCGCCGGCCUCCUCCGCGAUCGCCGCCGCCCUCUCCAACGCGCCUCCACCUCGCAUCGGAUCGAUCAUCCACCUUCGCCCUCCUCCCUGCGUCGCCUCCUUGCCUCCUCACCUUCUCACCUCGCCGCCGCAUCGCCUCCUCAGCAGCCCCGUGCCCCGCGCCCCGCGUCCCGCGCGCGCGUCCCGCGUCGCCCUCGACCGCCGACGCUGCGACCCGUGCCGUCUCCUCGCUGCCGUCGCCGUGCCCCGAGUCCCGCGUCCCGCGCCGCCCUCGACCGCCGACGCGGGAGCAGGAGGUCACGCCACGUCAACACCGCCGAGGAGCCGCUUCCUCGCCGCCGUCGCGACGACCCGCGCCGCCCUCGACUGCCGCCACCUCCGCCGGUCACGAUCGCCUUCAUCUGAAGGUAUGAAACCUAGAUCCAGGAGGAAUCAAGCGGGAGUUCAGGGACAUGCACUUGGCAUCUGCUGAAUUUUUUUUGGCAUUGAUACGGUGAGUCUGUCUUU